GAUGAACGCUGGCGGCGUGCCUAAUACAUGCAAGUCGAGCGAACAGACGAGGAGCUUGCUCCUUUGACGUUAGCGGCGGACGGGUGAGUAACACGCGGAUAACCUACCUAUAAGACUGGGAUAACUUCGGGAAACCGGAGCUAAUACCGGAUAACAUGUUGAGCCGCAUGGUUCAACAGUGAAAGACGGUCUUGCUGUCACUUAUAGAUGGAUCCGCGCCGCAUUAGCUAGUUGGUAAGGUAACGGCUUACCAAGGCAACGAUGCGUAGCCGACCUGAGAGGGUGAUCGGCCACACUGGAACUGAGACACGGUCCAGACUCCUACGGGAGGCAGCAGUAGGGAAUCUUCCGCAAUGGGCGAAAGCCUGACGGAGCAACGCCGCGUGAGUGAAGAAGGUCUUCGGAUCGUAAAACUCUGUUAUUAGGGAAGAACAAAUGUGUAAGUAACUAUGCACGUCUUGACGGUACCUAAUCAGAAAGCCACGGCUAACUACGUG
rnacentral:rRNA from 1 species